GACGUAGGGCGCGAGCGUUGUCCGGAUUUAUUGGGCGUAAAGAGCUCGUAGGCGGCUUGUUGCGUCGACCGUGAAAACCCGGGGCUCAACUUCGGGCUUGCGGUCGAUACGGGCGGGCUAGAGUUCGGUAGGGGAGACUGGAAUUCCUGGUGUAGCGGUGAAAUGCGCAGAUAUCAGGAGGAACACCGGUGGCGAAGGCGGCACUCUGGGACGGUACUGACGCUGAGACGCGAAAGCGUGGGGAGCGAACAGG
rnacentral:rRNA from 1 species